rnacentral:rRNA from 1 species
GGUCGUAAUGUCUAGUAUAAGCACUUUAUACUGUGAAACUGCGAAUGGCUCAUUAAAUCAGUUAUCGUUUAUUUGAUAGUACCUUACUACAUGGAUACCUGUGGUAAUUCUAGAGCUAAUACAUGCUACAAACCCCGACUUCAGGAAGGGGUGUAUUUAUUAGAUAAAAAACCAACGCCCUUCGGGGCUCCUUGGUGAAUCAUAAUAACUUAACGAAUCGCAUGGCCUUGCGCCGGCGAUGGUUCAUUCAAAUUUCUGCCCUAUCAACUUUCGAUGGUAGGAUAGUGGCCUACCAUGGUGGCAACGGGUAACGGGGAAUUAGGGUUCGAUUCCGGAGAGGGAGCCUGAGAAACGGCUACCACAUCCAAGGAAGGCAGCAGGCGCGCAAAUUACCCAAUCCCGAUACGGGGAGGUAGUGACAAUAAAUAAUGAUACGG